GACUGUGGCUCUGAUUUGACCCUUAGCCCGGGCACCUCCAUAUGCAGUUAGUACAGCCUAAAGAGACCAAAGGGGAAAAAAAAAAGAAGAAGAGAAAAGAAAGUGUGGUGACAGCCUAGAGAGGUUGGGGGGAGGGUUUCUUCCACGAGAGUGAUCACUAGGGGUUCACUGUUUGGAGAAACGACACCUGAUCUGAAAGUUAAACCAGGUCUUUGGAAAGCAAGCUUCGGAAGUGGGUGCCAGGAAGGAAGUGCUGGGGACACCACUGCUGUGGAGGGUCCAGGAGGUCCCCUCUGUUGGCCUGGAGGCCAGUGUGGGAGGAAGGGCAGAAGGCAGAGAGGGAGUGAAAAGGAAGACAGGCUGGAUCUGCUGGCCACGGCCGUUCCCCCGCAACCACAUCUGGCCACGACAGCCUUUGGGACGGCAGCAGCCACCACUCCCUGAGGCCUCUCCUCUUUUGCCCCUCUGACCUGGACCACACAGGGAAGGGGAGACUGGGAAAUGGAACCACCCAGCAGACUCCUUGGAAGCUCAGCACGUGCACACACUUUGACUUUAAACCCUGGUUAACUUCCCAAUCCAAACAAAGGCAAAACCAGGUAUCCCCGCCAAGACCAGCUAAUCUCUCGGAAGAGACUGAUGAAAGUUUCGUUUCACUUCGUCCAUCUUUGGGUGGCACUGGCUCUAACGGGAUAAGCUGCUGUCUUUGAGAAUGUUAAGAGGGUUUGUGAGUUAAUAACACAAACACCGACGUGUAAGAUUAACCGAUAUUCACAUAUGCUAGAUAAAAGGGGGAGGGGGCGGGUUGAACAAGUGCCCACGCGCCCUGCAUGAAGCUAAGGAAGGGGCUCUCGUCACUGCAGCCAUGUGGCCAUAGCUGGUACUCACCACCGCCUUCUUCCUCUGCCCGCUGCUCGCUCUGUGUCAGCCAGCGCCUCAGCUGGUCGUGGUUCUCUGUCUGGUGGAGUGCCUGGAGAGGGGCUGUGCCUGCAGUGGGUGGUUCUGUUUCAGGUCAUUUUCUCUGCCCAAGGGGCGUUCAGAAACCCUAGAGCAUCUCCCGCCUGCCAGACUCUUGCCUCCGUGCUCAGUUCUGCAAUAGAAACUCAGCCCUCCCUUCCGUGACCAGCCACCUGGCCACCUGGCUGCCAACUUCCAGUCCAGUGUGCCCCCUGGUGGAAGCACUCUAGGGCUUGCCCAGGACCGAGGGGUUUCCUAGGAUGUGGCAUAUUCAGUUUUGAACCCAGGAAAGUUCUGGGCAAACCAGGAGAGCUGGGCCCCCUAAUGCACUCCUGCUUUGGCAUCUGAGACUGCUGGGCCAGCGUAGCUGAGUGGCAGGGAUGGGAAGCCAGCAAUUCACCGUGGACCUACUCGUUUCACCCUCCAAUACCUGCACCCCGGGACUGCUGAUUGAGAAAACCUAGAAGGCAUCACCCCAGCUCCACCGGUUGACGCCCAGCCAGCUCCCAACCAAGUCUUCCAGAGGCCAGUCCACUCUCUGUCCACCGUUCUACCAGGCCGGCUGCUUCAGGGAGAUGGGAGUGUGCAGGACCACUGGGCCCUGUGAGCAUGGACCCGCUGCUGCACUUCUUUUGCUGUGAGGCCCAGAGUCAGCCGUUUCCUUAAGGAACCUGGUUCCUGUCUUAGCGACCACCAUCUGGGAGACAGAUGUGAUGGAUUACAUUUAUUGAUUUUAAAAAUAUUGAAUCACCC